GAUGAACGCUAGCUACAGGCUUAACACAUGCAAGUCGAGGGGUAACGAGAGGAAAGCUUGCUUUCCUUGUCGACGACCGGCGCACGGGUGAGUAACGCGUAUCCAACCUGCCCCCAACUAGGGAAUAACCUUGCGAAAGUAAGACUAAUACCCUAUAAUUUCCUCAGAUGUCAUCUGACGAGGAAUAAAGAUUUAUCGGUUGUGGAUGGGGAUGCGUCUGAUUAGCUUGUUGGCGGGGUAACGGCCCACCAAGGCAACGAUCAGUAGGGGUUCUGAGAGGCAGGUCCCCCACAUUGGAACUGAGACACGGUCCAAACUCCUACGGGAGGCAGCAGUGAGGAAUAUUGGUCAAGGGGCGGAAGCCUGAACCAGCCAAGUAGCGUGCAGGAUGACGGCCCUAUGGGUUGUAAACUGCUUUUAUACAGGAAUAAAGUUAGCCACGUGUGGUUAUUUGUAGGUACUGUAUGAAUAAGGACCGGCUAAUUCCGUGCCAGCAGCCGCAGUAA
rnacentral:rRNA from 1 species